rnacentral:rRNA from 1 species
GACGAACGCUGGCGGCGUGCUUAACACCUGCGAGUCGAACGGAAAGGCCCUGCUUUUGUGGGGUGCUCGAGUGGCGAACGGGUGAGUAACACGUGAGUAACCUGCCCUUGACUUUGGGAUAACUUCAGGAAACUGGGGCUAAUACCGGAUAGGAGCUCCUGCUGCAUGGUGGGGGUUGGAAAGUUUCGGCGGUUGGGGAUGGACUCGCGGCUUAUCAGCUUGUUGGUGGGGUAGUGGCUUACCAAGGCUUUGACGGGUAGCCGGCCUGAGAGGGUGACCGGCCACAUUGGGACUGAGAUACGGCCCAGACUCCUACGGGAGGCAGCAGUGGGGAAUAUUGCACAAUGGGCGGAAGCCUGAUGCAGCAACGCCGCGUGCGGGAUGACGGCCUUCGGGUUGUAAACCGCUUUCGCCUGUGACGAAGCGUGAGUGACGGUAAUGGGUAAAGAAGCACCGGCUAACUACGUG